UGGGGAAUCUUCCGCAAUGGACGAAAGUCUGACGGAGCAACGCCGCGUGAGUGAAGAAGGUUUUCGGAUCGUAAAACUCUGUCUUUUGGGGCGAACGUGAGUAUGGUGAACAAUCAUAGUCAGUGACGGUACCAAAGGAGGAAGCCACGGCUAACUACGUGCCAGCAGCCGCGGUAAUACGUAGGUGGCAAGCGUUGUCCGGAAUUAUUGGGCGUAAAGAGCGCGUAGGCGGGAUAGUCAGUCUGUUGUAAAAGUGCGGGGCUCAACCCCGUGAUCGCAAUGGAAACAGCUAUUCUUGAGUGCAGGAGAGGAAAGUGGAAUUCCCAGUGUAGCGGUGAAAUGCGUAGAUAUUGGGAGGAACACCAGUGGCGAAGGCGACUUUCUGGACUGUGUCUGACGCUGAGGCGCGAAAGCCAGGGGAGCGAACGGGAUUUAGAUACCCCCGGUAGUCCUGGCCGUAAACGAUGGGUACUAGGUGUGGGAGGUAUCGACCCCCUUCCGUGCCGGAGUUAACGCAAUAAGUACCCCGCCUGGGGAGUACGGUCGCAAGACUGAAACUCAAAUGAAUUGACGGGGUCAUAGCUGUUCCUG
rnacentral:rRNA from 1 species